rnacentral:rRNA from 1 species
UACGUAGGGUCCGAGCGUUGUCCGGAAUUAUUGGGCGUAAAGGGCUCGUAGGCGGUUUGUCGCGUCGGGCGUGAAAACACGGGGCUUAACCCCGUGCCUGCUUCCGAUACGGGCAGACUAGAGGUAUGCAGGGGAGAACGGAAUUCCUGGUGUAGCGGUGAAAUGCGCAGAUAUCAGGAGGAACACCGGUGGCGAAGGCGGUUCUCUGGGCAGUACCUGACGCUGAGGAGCGAAAGCAUGGGGAGCGAACAGG